AUAUUUUUAAUUAAAAUGUAAUUAGAAAGGAGCACUUUUAAAGUGGAUUUGAUUUAAAAUAAUGAUAAAGCUGUUUUUUUAUGUAUUUGUAUAUCUUAUCCUCUAUCGUGUUUAAGAAGAAGAGAAUAAUGAAGCUUUUUAUUAAAUAAUAUUUGGGUUUAUUUUAUUUUAUUUUCUCCUCACAGAUUCAAAUUUACGUCAAUGUCCGUUACGUUGGUGACGUCACCGCGAGCGCGAGAAGUCGAAGUGAGGAGCAGAAAGCGUUGUUAGUGUUAGUUCUGGCCCGUUUGGACCCAAACUAAACUGAGUUUAUUCAGUUCUGUGUAACCGAACCCGUUCUGUUUUGUGCUGUAUUGUGUGUAUGUGUGUAGUUAACGGUGUUAACACCUGUGUUUCAGGUGUAUCAGUAUGAAGUAGGCGGUGACGGCGCACUGAUUCACUCUCGGAGCUCGGUUCACUAAUGACCGAAUCACCGAGGAACCGACCAAGGAUAACUCACACCCGCACGGAGAAGAAGAACAAGAGGAGAAGAUGAGCUGGAGUGGGGCAAAGAGAACUGCAUUCAGAUCAAACGGAUACAAGAGGUGGCUGAGUUGUUUGAGGAUCUGAAGAAUUGAGUGUCACAAUUCAACAUGCACAUCAGCGAAACUUCUCCCUCUGACUACACCAGCGCGCGCACACAGAAAUUCAUAGUGCAGGUAACACACACACACACACACGAGUAGAACAGGUGUAGUUUAACAGCAUAUGUGUAUAAAGAGGCUUUUUUCUUCAGGUCAAAAUAUAUACAGCAGCGGUGCCCAAUAUGUCGAUCGCAAUCGACCGGUUGAUCGCGAAGGAAGUGCGGGUAGAUCGCCAUUAAAAAAAAGAUGUUAGUUGACGUACAGGGCAGCCAGUCUGAGAACUCGUCUUUUCUCUCACCACGCGUGUGCGAUCAAGCGCACCAGUGCUAAAGGCUAGCGAGCGAAAUCGCGGGGAGAGGACAUUUUUCAGUCUUUUAAAGACUUCAUUGACAAAACCCAGCUCCAGUGUGCAAAUUGAUAUCAGUCAAUGGUUGAGCAGCGCAAAUGGAUUCAUUGCCAAGUGCAGGGAAGACGAUGCUUUCCCUGACUUCCUUAACUACCACUGCAUAAUACACCAACAAGCCUUAUGCGCAAGAAUGCUAAACAUGAAAGAGAUCAUGGAUGUGGCAACAAAGAUCACCUGUUCUAUACGUGCUAGAUCACUUCAAAGACGGCUGUUCCGUGCGCAUCUGGAGAAGGCACACUGCGACCAAUCAGCUCCUGCUACACACUGACGUGAGAUGGCUUAGUAGGGGUAAUUCCUGCAGAGAUUUCGAGAGCUCUGUCCGGAGAUAAGCGAGUUUCUUUUUGCUGUUAAACAUUCAGAAUACACCCAAGUCAAUGAUGAUCAGUGGUUGCUGGACUUUUUUUAACCGAGCAUUUUUAACCGAUCUGACCAACUUAAUUUGGAGCUGCAAGGAAAAGACAAAAAUUAAAGGCAGUUAAUGCCUUUAAACGGAAAAUGCAACUUCUGUUCUCAAAGCUGCAGCGCCAUGUUUUUGGGAACUUCCAAAACCUCGUGUCAGAUCUGGAGACGCAGCGGAAGGCUUGUGCGCAAUUUAACAUUGCACGCUACACGGAGCAGAUUGACAGCUGUCGGUCAGAGUUUGACAGACGCUUUCAAGACUUUGCUUUACUGGAGCCAUUCGCCACAUUCAUGUGCUACCCGUUUAGGGACAAUGUUGAGGAUUGAUUCGCAUCGAAAAUUGCAGCGCUGUUUCACCUGAACUCGUCUGAAGUGGAGGAUGAGAUUUUGAAACUACAGACUGACAUUCAGCUGAAGUCCAGGGCUCAUGGACAGUUUUGGAACUUACUCACAGGGGAAAAGUACCCAAACAUGAGGAAAUGUGCCACCUCCUUGACUGCAUUAUUUGGCUCUACUUAUUUAUGUGAGUCAGCCUUUUCCCACAUGAAGAUCAUUAAGUCCAAAUACCGUUCCACAAUGACUGAUCAUCAUUUGGAGGCCUGCUUGAGGCUGGCUACCAGCAGCUACUGUCCGGACUAUGCAACCCUGGCUGAUUCUAUUCAGUGCACGUCGUCAGAGUAAGGUGGCGAUUGCAGGCACAUUUUAUCCGAACUGCUUCCUCCAGGGAACUGUGGACGAGGAGCUCGCCUCCAAGGAGCUCUAUGGAAAUGACCCCAGGACCACCGUAGUGGUAUUCAGUCAGCUUCCAUUUAACUAGGGGAUUAUUAUUAUUAUUAAUAAUAUUUCUCUCUCUCCCUCCCUCUCUCUCUCUCAGGUGUGUAAUCUCCCUCCAUUUGCAUUCCUCUACUAUAAACAGCUCCAGUCUCUCUUCAGACACUGUGGUUAAGUCAAAUCCAUCUCCUUUGACAGCUCCAGGGCCUAUGUAGAGUUCUACCGCUCGUCAAUGAGAGGUUCUGGCGUUCUCCCAGAGGUCUCUCUGUCUCUCCUCCUCGCGCAGCAGAGACUUCCUCUCCAUCUCAACGUUUAACCUGCUGGAGAGGUGGAGACUUGGGCAGGGGGGUAGUGUAUCUCACACCUCAGAUAUACACGGUACACACACACACACACACUGCAGCGAGCCUCAUCAGAUGAGUCAUAGUUACAUUUUAAGUGAGAGUAGUCAUGUGACCACAUCCCCUAGACAGUGUGAUGUUUAGAUGAUGUUCUGUACAUUAGUGCUGUUCUGUUACAGGUCUCUCUCUCUGUGUCUC